UGUCUUUCUUAAUGGCCGAUAGUGUAGAAUCAGUUAAUUGAGCAUCUCUGAUCUAUUGUAGUAUUACAGGUUGGACAUUUAAAUUAGCUAAAUAAGCACUUUCAGCUUAAUUAGGAAGUUGAAUUUCCUACACAGCCUCUGAAAGCUUCCACUCAGAAGCCAUCAUACAAGCUAGUGUACCUACAUUCUUCUUGCUAAGUGCAUAUGCGAUUACAUUACACUUACCUGGAUGAUACAAGAUCUUACAGUCAUAAUCUUUUAGUAGUUCUAUCCAC
rnacentral:lncRNA from 1 species